rnacentral:rRNA from 1 species
AAAACUUUCAACAACGGAUCUCUUGGUUCUGGCAUCGAUGAAGAACGCAGCGAAAUGCGAUAAGUAAUGUGAAUUGCAGAAUUCAGUGAAUCAUCGAAUCUUUGAACGCACAUUGCGCCCUUCGGAACUCCGGGGGCACACCUGUUCGAGCGUCAUCG